rnacentral:lncRNA from 1 species
AAACCUUGGGCGUGUCUAGUACCCCUCAUAAUGUUGUAUUAAGAGUUUGUAUUGUACUAAAUUAAUACUAUUAGACCAAAUUAAACUAAACCAUGGGGUAGGGGAGGGGUUGGUGGUCGAGUUUAUGGGGGUUUCUUACCAUCUAAAAAAAUAAAAAGAAAAAAGAAAAUCUAAGAACUCAUUUGCUCCAUCACUGCCAAUCUUUAAACUAACAAAACUCUCUCGCAACUGAUCUAUCCACCAACAAAAAUGGGCGAUCGACUUUACUCCAUCACCACCACGCUAGUUUGCUUUCCUGCAAGUCACCCAACUCUACCAUUGCCGUGUCGUACAAACCAUAGCUCCACCACCACUAUGUCAUCCGACACCACAGCCUGUCAACUACUACGCUGUGCAACAACACUACUCCACCAUCGUCGUUCCUCUUCUUCACCACCUGGAUCUUCAAGUUGUAGGUUUGAUUCUCAAUUUAUAUUUUAGUUCUAAAUUUGUGUUUGACUUAUAAAUUUGGGCUUGAUUCAAUUGGUUGGUGAUGGAGUUUUUUUUUUAUCAAUAUUUUGCAUUAAAUCAGAAUUAGAAUUAAUAAUUUUUAUAAUUUGUUUGUUAUUUUCCCAUCAAUUAUUUAAGCCAUGAGUAGCUAUAUUUUGUCUAAGCUAUUAGUAGUUUUGCUGUGUUUAAGCCGUGAGUAAUUGUGCUAUGUUUACUGUGAUUAAACUAUGAGUAGUUGUGUUGUGUUUGCUGUGUGUAAGCUGUGAGUAAUUGUCUUGUGUUUGUUGUGUUUAAACCUAGUAGCUAUCCUGUGUUUGUUUUGUUUAAGCCAUGAGUAGUUGUGCUGUGUUUGCUGUGUUUGCUGUGUUUGCGUUAUAAGUAGCUACGCCUGUAUUUGCUGUGUUUACAUCAUGAGCAAUUGUGUGGUAUUUUCUAUGUUUAAGCAGUGAGUAGCUGUCUAAGUCUUCAUGUUGCUUUCAAACCGUGGUAUUCUCUUUGCUCAUAAACUAGAUGUCUAAUAAUUUUCAUAUUUUAUUUGCUCAUGCACCGGAUGUACUCUCUACUGUAGACUAAACAAAAGAUAACUCAAAUAAGGCACAUUAAUUUAGAUAAACAUUGGUAUGGAUCAAUGCCUUCAGGGUAAUAUAAAACCUCAUUGAUGUAUAAUCCACCCCAAAUGGGAAAGUCCUUAAACAAUACAUAAUCAUUCACUUUGCUAGGCUUUUUCAAGCAAAUUAUUAAUUAAAAUAUAGAAAUGGUAGGGGAAUUACUAAAAACCAAGAGAACAUUACUUUCCUAAUCAAUGAAGACCCUUAUAAAGGAAAGUUAAAAGUUUAAAUAUUAUUAUUGUUAAUGAUGUAGUCUGGUUAAGUAAGAUGAGUAAAGUACCUUUCGGGCGCAUAACUUGGGCUACAAGUGUUUCUUUUGGGCGUAUAAUAUAUCAUUUCAAAACUUGCAACGAGACAAAUGAAAUCCAAAACACUUAUAUUAUUCUACCCUUUAGUUGAGGUAGAAAUUCCAUUUUAUUUCCUAGUUGUUUUGCGGUUUUUAGUUAUUUUCCUAUUUUUCCUUAAGCUUUUAGGAUUUUUAUAUUUUUCUCUAGAUAUCAAAUUUAGGUGUCAUUUUUUCCCUUUUUCUUAUUUAUACUAGAAGAAUUUUAUUAUAAUUAAAUAAUUUUUCAAAUUUUCCUAUUUUAUAAAUUCACAAUAUAGCUCUUAUAUGUUCUCAGCUUUCUUUAGUCAAUGCUCAACUUUGUGAUAUAUCAAUGAUCUUGCAUUGUUAUUGUUAUUACAUUAAAUUUGCUUCAUGGGGUUUAUUUUUAUUCUAAAUCAAUGCUUACAUGAUUCAAAAUGGUGUAAAAUAGGAACUAAAUCUAGUUAAAGAAUGCAUGCUUGGGUAAUUAGAACAAAUGAUAUAAGCCUACUUGAGGUUGAUAAUUAUGAAUAUUAAACAAAGCAAAAAGAAGUGGCUACUAUUUAACUUUAUGAAAAUGUACUAAAUGCCCAACUAGCUGAUUUUUCUUUGAUCAUUUUACUUUUUUUUUUAAUGAUAAGAAAAUGAGAAUAAUUUUUUUUUCAUCAUUUAGCAAAUGAAAUUGAGGUUCAUGUGCAUUGUCAUGUACUUUUUUGUUAACAAUGUUCAUCCAAAAGCAUAAUGAAAGAAAAAUGAUCCAUAAUCGUGCAUUCCAAAUCUAUGCUACUCAAUUACAAUACUUAGAUAACAUUAUAGGCAAUAAUGACAUACAAUAUGUAAAUCAACUAAGAAUGGAUAAAAGGACAUUCGGCCUACUAUGAGUUACUUCAAUGGAUUGGUGGAUUAACAUUGAUGGUUCAUUGACUGUUGAAAAACAAUUUUGCAUGUUCCUACACACUUUGUCUCACCAAAUUAAGAAUCUUAUAAUUGGCAAUAGGUUUUCUAGAUCUGGGGAGACUAUUAGUCGAUACUUCAAUUCAAUGUUAAAUGGAGUGCUAUAGCCACACAAUAUUUUACUAAGGGCUCUAGAUCCUGUACUAGAGAAUUGCACAUAUGAAAGAUGAAAAUUUUUCCGAAGUACCCUGUCAAUUACUUAUAUUUGAUUACAAUUUUCAUUUGUUUUAUGUAUGUAGAAUUGCUUAAGGGCAUUGGAUGGAACUUGUAAUAGAGUCUGUGUGCCAGAAAAUGAUAAGCGAAGAUAUCAAACAAGAAAGGGUAAGAUUGCUAUAAUUAUUUUAGCGGUAUGUUCAUAAGAUAUAAAAUUCAUCUUCAUGAUGCUCAGAUGGGAAUGCUCUACCUUUGACUCAAGAAUACUUGAAGAUGCAUUAAAUUAAUUGACUAGUUUAAAAUUAGGUAUAUUUAUUCCAAAAAUUAAUUUGAUCAAAUUAUAAAUUCAAAACAAAAUUAUACUAAUUCUUAUAUCAAAUAAUAGGUUACUACUAUCCGUUCAUGCUCCUCACAAUAAAGAAGAAUUCUUUAACAUGAAAUACUCAUCAACAAGAAAUGUAAUUGCAUUGUGUUUUGGAUUGCUCAAAAUGCAAUUAGCCAUUCUUUGAAGUCCUUUAUUUUAUCCAAUAAAAACUCAAUGUAUUAUUACUGCACAUAAUUUAUUAUAUAAACUGAUUAGGAGAGAAAUGUCAGUGGAUCCAAUGAAGCAUGAAUUAGUUGACAUAUCUAAUAAUGAGGUAGAAGAUAUUAAUAGUAUAAGUAGCCUUGAAGCAUUAGACUAGUGGACAAGUUGGAGGAAUGAUUUAGUUAUUGCUAUGUACAGUAAUUGGCUUGGAAAUUAGGACUCUUCUAAGGCUGUACUUUUUGUUAUUAUGUAGGUUGUUAAAAGAGUAUCAAAGGCUACACUUUUGUUAGUAUAAAGAUGCCAUUAGGAAAGUACCCAAGGUUGUACUUUUGUUAAUUUAUAGAUGUCAUUAGGAAAGCGUCUAAGACUUUACUUUUUUAAAUAUAUAGAUGUCAUUAGAAAAAUAUCUAAGGCUAUAACAUUUUGUUUAUAUUUAGAUGUUAUGAAGAACUCAUUGAGGGGUAUGUGAAUUUAGCUUGGUGUUAUAUUUCAGUUAUUUGUUUAUUUAGGGUAUGUGACUUGUUAUCUGACAGUGCAGACCAGACUAGUGCCUAUUCAGGAUCACCUCUGGAAUUUACAUCGUCGGUUUCCCGUUGAUAUACUCAAAUGGGAAAGCAGAAAAACCUUUUUAAAACAUUUUUCAUCUCGGGUUAUAUAACCCAAAACAGACUUUCUUUUAGUCUAAAACAGGGUACUAAACCAGAUAAGAAAAACGGUCAAAAUUUUUCUGAUGCACAGGAUCCUUGCAAAAGACAAGUAUAGAGCAUACUUCCUUAGGUUUCAAAAUGAACAAAUUUAAUUCUUUAUUCUUUUUCUUUCUCUAGAGAGCUUCAUUUGCAGAGAGAGGAGGGAGGUUUAGGGAGUCAUAGUGAUAAAAACACACGAGAGUUUAUUGCUUCAAACUUCUAUAUUCCAUAUCUUACAAGCAAGGGGAGAAUCCUUUAUAUAGGAGAAUUCUCAGAGAAGAUAGAAAAUGACCCCUAUCUUUUUUUCAAAAGCAAAAGAUAAAGAUACGACAACAUAGACCAUGACUUCUCAAGUGAUCAUGACCUAUAGCACACCUUUUUAGAAAGCCAAGCCCACCGAGCAAGACUUUGGACAAAUGGACAAAAGAUAAAGCAUGCUUACAAAGACUUUUACAACUGGCAAAAGCCAAAGCGUAAGGCAAGCCAAGACAAAAACAUAAAGCAAAACAUAAUUAUUAUAACAAGACAAACUACUUUAUUGAAAGCAACAAGGCAAACAACUUUAUGGAGAGCAGAGAUUCAUGUACUCGUCUUCGGAUGAGCUUUCAGUUUCAUAGGGAUUGUCAUAGGUGGAUUUUGGGAAAAAAGUUUUGGAGAGCUUUGGAUGCUUACAGUAGGGACCACAGCAAGGGGGAUAAGGACAAUCUCGUCGGUAUCCUGGUCUUGGUGAUGUUUGAGUGGCUUUGUCAACUUUGGAGGGUUUAGUGGUCGUGUCAGCAUUGGGAGGUUGGGAUGAGGAUCCUGGUUCAUUCAUGGAUAGUUGUGGAAACUGUUGGAGAUGUUAGCUGAGGGGAAGGAAAUCUUCCUAGGGGUCUUGGGAGUCUUGGAAAAGGAAGUCAAUGUAGUCUGGCUUUUCUUCUUUGAUAAUGAUUCCUGUGGAUUUUGGUUUGGAUAUGGCGGAUGGAGUGGGGAUCAUGAGAAGGUCAUGUUGGGGGCCUAAGGAGGUGUGGAAGAUGUCUUUAAGUGGCGGAGGUUGGUGGUUUAAUUGGCAGAGGUAGUUGUGAAGGACAUCUUGGAUUUCAUUUUCAAUGACAGCUAGAUGUGGUGCGGUGAACCAUUCAUAUACUUGGUCUUGAGUCCAAAAGAGUUUUGUGUCUGGAUGUUGAAAGUAUGGCCUGUGAAUGAUAAAGACUGAGGUAAACAUUUGUGCUUCCGAGGCAGGCAUACGUUCAAGGUUGUAAAUUUAUGACAGUUGUUGGAGCUUCUUUCUCCACCAUGGUAUUGGGGAGAACCAUUCAAGUAAUGUCCAGGUAAGAGAGGUGGCUUUGUCCGGAUCGAGGAGAUGUUCCAAAGUGGGAGUAAUUGGUAGGACUAACUUAGUGGCAUAAAGGACUAUUAGGCACCAGAGGUACCAUAACACAUCUUCAGUGGUUUCUCUGGAUGGAUCAAGGGUUAAACCGGUAAGGAACAGAUUUUCUGGGUGGAAAGAGGAAAAUGGAAAAGGUUCUGUGACAAGGUAGGCUUUCAUGAAGAAGCGAAAGAGAGCUUUUCUUGCAAACUCCUAGAUAGCAAAGAAAGAAGAAAAGGUUUUAUUAAAGGGAAAAGUUUUCUUGGUGAGAGCCUCUGGGGGUAGUGAUGUAGCCAUAGAGAUGAUUGGAAAGUGGUAUGUAGUGGAAAACAUGGUGAGAGGUUUUUCUGGUUUGGAGAGUCUGGAUAGCAUAUCAGGGAUGAGGUUCUGGGACCCCUUUAUAUGCUUGACCGAAAAGUCAUAUUUGGAAAACCAAUCUUUUAAUCUGAGUAACAUUUUUUCGGGAACAAUUUUACCUUUGAAAUUGAGAAUAUUGGGGAAGGUUGAACUGUCCAUACGGAUGAGAAAAUGGUGUCCAAUCAGAUGAUACUCAAACAUUUUGAUGCCAUUCUUUACCGCUAAGAUUUCUUUGAAUACGCUAUGAUAAUGCUUCUAUGUGUCAGAAAAAAUUCCGCUAGCGUAAGCGAUAAAGUGCUCUUUUCCAUUGAUUUCUUCAAGGAGGAUGGCACCCCAUGAGUCAUCACUUGCGUCUGUCUGCAAUAUGCGCUUUCCAUCAGUAAUCAACUUUAAUGGAGGCGGAUUUUGCGCAAUUUGCUUGAGAGUAGUGACAGCAUUAGUGUGGUCAGUAUUCCACUCUGGGGCUUCUUUUUCAAUAAAGCCGAAAGGUGAUGAGUGUAGUGAUCCACAUGUGAGAUGAAGUCUCUGAUGUAAUUGAUGAUGCCGAGAAACUGUUGAACUUGCUUUUUGGAAAAUUACUGAUAUGGAAAGUGAAGCAAUUCUUGGGCAAUAUGUUUUCCUGGCUGAUAAUGGCCAUCUUUUAUGAUCAUACCAAGGAAUUCAAUAUUGUUGGUAGCAAUAGUACUUUUCUUGGCCGAUAACAUAAUUCCAUGAUUUUGGACAAUAUCAUAGAACUGAGUUAACAGCUGGCGAUGUUCAUCAUGGGAUCCUGAAAAAAGCAAAAGAUCAUCAAUGUAAAUUAAUGCAUGAUGCAGAAUAGGCUGAAAGAUGUUGACCAUGGAUUUUUGGAAAAUGGAUGGGGCAGUUUUGAGGCCAAAGGGUAGGACGGUCCAUUGGAAAUGGGCAUUUGGGAUACAAAAAGCAGUUUUGUAACGCUCAGAGGGUUCAAUGCCCAAUUGCCAAAAACUUGAUUUUAAAUCGAAUUUUGAAAAGAUCUGGGCAUUUUUGAGAAAAGUAAACAUACUUUGUCUACGGGGCAAGGGAAACUUGUCAUCUUGUAAAAACAUGUUUAAUGGCUGAUAGUCAAUGACUAGGCGUUUCUUUCCUCGAACAAUUUCAGAAUGCUUUUCAACAUAAAAGGCUUGGCAAGCCCAUUGAGAAUUUAUGGGCUCAAUAAGACCUUGGGCUAACAGUUGGGAACAUUCUUGUUGGGCUAGGAGUAAAUCAGAAGGGCUCAUUCCUGGGUGAGUGGCUUUAGUUGGGUUAAUGUCUUCAUUGAGUUUGAAAGGUAACUUAAUGAAGAAAGACUUAUUUUUCCACAAUGGGUUUGGAUGGGUGAACUCAGAAUGGGACUCUGGACAGAAACUCAAAAGCUUAUUUGAAAUAUCCUAGUAGGGUUGAGGGGUUUCAGACAGAUUGUGGAGUUUUAGAAUGUCUGUGAAAGGUUUGAACAUGGACUUGACUCGAAUUCCAUUGGGAAGGAUUUGGAGGUGUUUGAUCUGGUGAAUGAUGUCAAAACCUAACAAGAGAUCCUUAUUAGGAAGGGUUGAACCGAUAACUUUGUUCCAAAUGACACAAUUUGGAAAGAUUUGGAUACCAAUGGGUUUUUUGGUAAUCAAAGAGGUGGUGAAGAGUUUGCCAUUGACAGCUUUGAAAUGUUCUUCAUAGUCUGUCCAGUAUUCUGGUGGAAGAAGAUGUGGGUUUAACAUGCUGCGUUGGGCACCAGUGUCGAUGAGACCAAUUGCUGGAAUGAGCCUAUGGAACUUCGAGGGCAAGAUUUGGAGUUUGAUGGAUGGUAUAGGAAUAGUAGUGUCAAGGGACAGUAACUGUUGGUGGAAAAUGAUUUGGGACUGAUCACUGUCUGAAUCAUCAGAGGAGUUCUGUAGUGCGAACACUGUUUCAUCAUUGGGUUCAUCUUGUUCAGAGAAAUUGAAUUCCAGUUCAUCCUUUUCGGGAGAGUAAUCUGUAGUUGCUUGAAGAUGCUCAACUAACCGAAUAGAUUUUUCUCGCUUGUGGGGACAGUCUUUGGCAAAAUGGCCUUUCUUCUUGCAGAUGAAACAUCUGCUUGAUUUUCUUCGUUUAAAGUCUCUGGAAGAAGAUGACUUCUUUCUGAAGAAUCUGUAAGGCUUUCGGGAUCGACGAGGUCUGGAUGAAAAUUCUGGAUUUAUGAAUUUCUUAAAAUGCCUUUUCUUUUUAGGACUGCAAUCACAAUCCUUCUUCUGUUUGCAUUUGAUCUGCAAGUAAUGCUUUUUGCAGGCACUCCGGAAUGGUUCUUUGUCUUUCAACAGUUCUUUAUAAAACUGCUUCUGUUCACAGAGUUUAUCGAGACAAGUUUUGGCAAGCUGGAAGAUUUUGCCAAGAGAGAUGUUGUCAAGAGAAAGAUUGGAUGCGGUGAGUUGUCUCUGUAUGUCUGGUUAGAGUUCGUCUGGAAGGGAAGCUAGAAAAACAUGCUUUAAUGUUGGCUCAUUGAAUCCAUUAAGCUUAUAAAAGAGCAAAGACAUCCGCUUGUAAUGGAAGUCAAGAUCCUUAGCAUUAAGGGAACAGCAUUUCAUGUUGAGAUAGUCUCAUCGUGCAGCUUCAAAGACUGCAGAGAGGUCUCCAAGGAAUUGAUCAUGGAUAACUUCAAGGGCACUUGAGACUUCUGGUAAUUGACCAAACUGCAAUUGUCUGUAGUUGCCUAAAGAAUCAAACCAAUCUCUUAGAGCACCCGUAAAACGAUUAGCAAACUCUCUAAGGACUGAUUGAGUUGUGGCUCCUGGACGUAGCAUUUGGAGGUCAAUCUAGGCAGACAUUUCAUUAAGGCGAUCACGCCAUUUAUGAGAUGGAAGGUCAUCAAAGGUAAACCAUAGGCCAUUUGAAGAUUUUUGACUGGGUGAACUGGUAUGGGCUUGAGCUGGAGGGGGUUGGUUCGUGGCAGAGGAUUCAGGCAUUUCUUCUUCAACUUCUGAGGGAAUGUCAACAUAUGGUUCUGUAUGGGAAGUGUGGCCUGGAGUGGGUAGAUCUAAGGCAUGAUUUUGAAGCCUAUAGACCAAUUGGUGGUGCAAGGUGGCAAUUUUGGCAGAAGAAAUUUGUUCAGCACCUUGAAUUUGGACUUGAACCUUCAAGGUUAUGGGCAAGUUGGGAUCUUGGAGAGAAAGGUUGAAGUUUGGGUAAAAGGUAAGUAAAACACUUCCUGCAUGGAGGUUUGUAAGGACAGUGCCAAUAACAGCAUCUUGGUACUGUUUAAACCGGGUAUCAAGCAUAGCAAGGCGAGCUGUAACCGGUAAUCAUUUUCUACCAUGAAGAGUAAGGAUUAAUCUGAUGCCUCCAAGAUGAAGAUGAGUGUAACCUUCUCGUUUCCAAUUGGAAAUUAACUCUGGAGGUAUUUCGAGAGUGACAUAUUGCUCAGCAGGGGUUGCUUGGAGAGGAUUUUCUCAACUUGUUCUUGAAAGAACUUUUGACUUAUCAAAGGUGUUGCUAACCUUUGUGGCGUCUUAUUUAGCAAUCUGGGAUUUUGAGACUUAGCUUCUCAAGGGUUUGAUCUUUUAUUCGAAUUUUGAUCAUAUUGGCUUUCUUGGGUUCUUAUCAAUCUAGUUGUGGGUUUUUUUCUAGCUAGAUCUAGAGAGGUUCUCAUCAGUUGGUAUUAGAGCUUAAGCACCAAGGUCAGAUUCAUCUCUAUCUUUAUUUUUUUAUUCGUGUUUGAGAUUUUUCAUUCUUGUUCUAGUAUUCUAAAAAAAAAAAAUCGUGAACAGUGCCACAUGAACAGUAUUUUUAGGGUAUCUUUUUAUCAAUUUUGCAUCUUUGUGGUUUAUUCUCCUUAAAUCCGCAAAUUUUACCUAUUCCUUUCCCUAAAUUCAUUCAAAUUUCAAUUAUUUAGGGUUUACAAUAAUAAUAAUAAUAAUCAUAGUUGGUGAUCUCCUUUGUUUCUUUGUUUUGUUAUUCUUGUUCCUUUGUUUCUUGUUUUUUUCCAUUCUUUUUUCUUGGGCUAUGAUUGUUAGAGUGAUUAUACUUUGGUGCUAUCCCUUGAUCAAGUCACCAGUUCCUAAAGAACUUGACUGAGAAAAUAUAAGAGUGGCAAAAGACAAAAGUGUAUGAGCACAACUUCAUGUAAAAGCCUAUUUGAGUGUAAACACGAGUGGAGUGACAUCUCGAGUGUAAACACGUGAGGCUUGUGAGGUUUAUUACUUUUUUUUUUUAAUUUUUUGCUAACAUGUUUUUGUAGUUUGCAUCAAAUAACUAAUAUGGAUGAUAAAACUGAGGUGCCAUGUAACAUAUGUGAAGAUGAAUAAAAAUGAGGCGGUUAAGAAGUAAUUAAAAUAAAAGAAUAGAAUAAGCUAGAAACAAGGAACAUAUACACACACGUGUGAGACUAACAGAAGCUACCAACUAACCCGGAAAACCCGACCUGAUCCGACCUGCGAAAUUGACCCGGCCAUAACUUCCAUUUCCGGCCACUGUUUCGGCCGAGCUUGGUACCAAUAUGAAGCUUGGAAACCAACCAGAAACCCGAGACUGUUUCACUUUGUUCCGUCGGGAUUUUUGCCGGUUUUGGGUGACACCACCGGUUGGAUUUUGUUCCCCACGACUCCCUCUUCCAUUUUCGAUCAUCCAUAGCCACCGGGAGUCACUGUUUUGCCGCCGAUCAAUUGUUGGAAUUCACGGCUGUCGAGCUAGAUUUCGGCGUCGUUGCCGCGCGUUGGAGCUCACCACCAGCACCAUUGAACUCAGCUUGGCCAAAAGUGUCUAACCCGUGCUUCCCGGCUAGCGUUGACCAAAUUUCGAUGACCGUUGACCGGCAAGGGUAUUUCGGUAAUUUCACACUCUGAGGGCAAUUUUGUAAUUUUUGAGCCUGUGGAUAUUUUAGUAAUUCCUAGAAUUGAGGAUUGGGUGUAAUUAUGAUUAUGAGGGUAAUUCGGUGAUUUACAAUUUCAGAGUAUUUUAAUGAUUUAUGGACUCGAGGGCAUUUUAGUAAUUUUAUCGACACGGGAGUUGUAAAUUGUGGAUAGAUGUUCGUUUAGAGUUUAUUCCAUAAAUUUAGUCCUAAUUCCGAUUUAGGAAAAAUAAUUAUGUCGUUUUCUUGAUUUAGGAGGAUCCGCGAGCGAGAACUGGUCCGCGGACGUGGACGAUAACCGAGCGUGAACACCGUCAGUGUGAGUGGAAUAUAUAAAAUCUAUUUUCAUAGUUAAUUAUGUUAGUAAAACAUGUUUGCGAAAUAAGUGUUUUAAAUGUUCUGAUUUAAUGAUUUCUCGAAAUGGAUUUUAUUCACUCAUUGAUAUUAUAUUAAAAUGUUUGGUUAAUGAUUUUGUGUAUCGACUUUGAAUAAAGUAUGAUAGUAUUUUAAAGAUAAGAAAAGUGGAUUCAAAUGUGGUAUGAUUUAAAAAUAUGGUUAAGAGGUAUGUGAAUAUAAGUAUAAUGAUUGUUUUUUAAAUCAUUAGACAGUACCCAUCCCCUCCAGAUACAGUGAUACAGAUGAUAUGAGAUGAGAGGCCUUUGGGGCCCGUCUGAAUACACACAGAGGCUUUGGGCCGUGUGUUUGGGCGUUUCUGCCUUUUGGGGGCAUAUGCAUGUGGUAUGAUGAUUACAAAGAUACAAAUAUGAGAUACAGACAAAUAUUGAGAUGCAGAUGAUACAUAUGAGAUAUAGGCCUUUGGGGCCCGUCUGAGUACACACAUAGGUUUUGGGCCGUGUGCUUGGGCGCUUUUGUCCUUUGGGGACUAGAUUAUGCAUGCACAGAUAUGAUGAGAUAUGAUGAGAUAUAAGAUGGUAUUUCCCUGUCUAUCCAUGUAGCUCUGGGGCAUGACGGUACCCAGAUAGUACGUCAUUGCCCGUCCGUUGAGGUCUGGAUAUGACGAGAUUAUUCCCCUGGGUACUUGUUUGGUGAUGAUUUUUAGAUUUGUGUAUUCUAUAUGAUAUUGUGAUAUGAUUUGCAUGUUUAAUAAUCUGGUUUAAAUGUUAAAUGAUUUAUUACUGGUUUCUCGCUUAUGGUUUAAUGAAAUCAUGUUUGGAAAUGAUAUGAUUAUUUCUUUUAAAGUAAGAGUUAAUUUUCAAAAACUACUAUCCACUCACUGAUCUCACUGAGUUUUAAACUCAUCCCGUUUUUAUUAUAUUUUCCCCCCCUCACCAGGAGGUUGCAGGCACACCAGACCGACCCAGCGACUGUAAAUAUAUUUUGAGUCUUGGUCAUGUGAUAGUGUUAGAAGAUAUAGAUGUUUUUGUUAGGACAUCUCAGUUAUAUUAUUCUUUUGGGAUUAAGAAUAAACUGAGAUAUUAAUAUUAGUUAUAAUAUUAUCUUUUGAGAUUCUAGAGAUAUAAAACUAAGCAUUUUAGUUGAGGAUGUUGAUCACUGGAGUUUGUUGUAUAUUGAAUUAUAUUUGGAGUGAUAUAUUUAUAAAGGAGACUCAGUCGAAUUUUCGACAGAAUCAUUACUAAUUAGAUUAUUAUCGAGUCUGUUUUGAUGAGACUAGAUUGACUCGCCUGGGGGGAUUCGGGGCGGGUCGCUUCAUAUGCACCAGGCAUUUGAAAAAACGAAUAUGAGGUUUGGAGAGAUAAGAAGCUAGUUGAGGCACC